rnacentral:rRNA from 1 species
UACGAAGGGGGCUAGCGUUGCUCGGAAUCCCUGGGCGUAAAGGGCGCGUAGGCGGCCAUUCAAGUCAGGGGUGAAAGCCUGUGGCUCAACCACAGAAUUGCCUUUGAUACUGUUUGGCUAGAGACCGGAAGAGGUAAGUGGAACUGCGAGUGUAGAGGUGAAAUUCGUAGAUAUUCGCAAGAACACCAGUGGCGAAGGCGGCUUACUGGUCCGGUUCUGACGCUGAGGCGCGAAAGCGUGGGGAGCAAACAGG